AGGCCAACAAGCUCAUUCCACCCCUCUCUCAGGCGUUAGGCAGCAGCAGCAGGAAGGCGGGAGAAGGUAGCAGCAGGAGCAGCACCGGCGUGCGGGGCAGCAGCAGCGCCGCCGCGCCACUCGGCGCGCUGGUAGCAGCCCCGCUGCGCGCACGCGAGGCCCUCAGGUUCGUGGGCUUCCUGGAGGAGAGGAGCUCUGUGUGCGCAAGCUAGGAGGAAGAAAAGACGGUGCGGGAAGAAGCCUGGUCCAGUUAUGUGAUUUGGGUUGCUAAGAGCACAAGCGAGGAUAUGUUCCCGUUCUUUGCUUGCUGAAAACUUGAUGGAAUAAGAGUUGCCGUGAUUGUGGUGAACACGGGCAGCAAGGAGUGUUAGUUGGCAUCGCUCUAGGAGAUGGAUCCAUUGAAAGGGGUUGAGGAAUCAUCGCUGGUCACUAAAGGCGAGAUGAAAAGCCUACUACAAGACUUGAUAGCUACUGGGAUGAUGGGGCCUAGAAUAGGAGGGGCAUCACCUGAAAUAAAGCUAGAGCAAAUGCCGAAUGAAGUUAAGUUGGAGGAGAGCCAAAAUUACUUGAGCUGGUCUAGAAGGACAAGAUUGAUGUUGAGGGCAAAAGGGGUAGAACACUAUUUGGAGGAAACUUGUAUUGAACCAGAUGACAAGCUUAGUGUGGACUGGAAGGUGUGGAAUUCCACCAACUCUACGGUGGCAACAUGGUUAAUGACCUCAGUGGCUCCAUCCAUUGCGAGGAUGGUGGAGACAAUUUCUAAUGCAUCAACUGUGUGGAAGACAUUGAGCAAAAUGUACUCAGGGGAAGACAAUGCAAUGAUGAUGGUUGAGGCUCAAGACAAGGUGGAGAACUUGAAGCAAGAGGGAAGAACUGUUCAAGAAUAUGCUAGUGAGUUGCAACAAUUAUGGGCAGAUUUGGAUCACUAUGAGAGGGGGACUGGGAGGAGGAUUGGGACUGGAGUCAGGCGCAAUGGGUUGUGGUACAUCAAUAAUGAAGAAGUAGGAUUGGCUGCAGUUGCAGGAAAUGCUGAGGAGAUUAUUUUGCUUCAUUGCCGGUUAGGACAUCCAUCAUUUGAUAACGUAAGUAAGCUAUAUCCAAUUCUCUUUAAUGGAGUGAACAAAAGUAGACUUGUCUGUGACGCUUGCGAAUUUGGCAAACAUACACGGACCCCAUAUGUUGGGAGUGGCCUCCGUAGUUAUGAACCCUUUAUAUUAAUACAUUAUGAUGUUUGGGGACCAUGGCCAGUUACUUUAGUGAGUGGAUUUAAGUGGUUUGUUUCCUUCAUUGAUUGUUACACUCGAAUGACUUGGAUUUAUGUACUUAAGCACAAGAAUGAUGUUCUUCGAUGCUUCCAAGAUUUUCAUAAAUUCAAAUCAGUUUGAUGCAAAUGUUCGAAUCAUUCGAACUGAUAAUGGGACUGAGUAUAUCAACAACGAAUUUGUCUCUUAUGUCUUGGAUCAAGGGAUCAUACAUCAAACCACUUGUCCUGGAACCCCUCCUCAAAAUGGUGUAGCUGAGAGGAAGAACCGACAUUUGUUGGAGGUGGCACGUUCACUUAUGUUUCAGAUGAAUGUACCCAAAUACUUGUGGAAGUGAUGACUGCUGCAUAUCUUAUUAAUCGCAUAUCUUGUGGAGAUGACAAGGAAGAAUGAUGGGGACCAAAUUAGGGAAUUUGCACGGGAGCAAGUUGAAGAGUCUGAACAACCUGAGCAUCCAGUCCAAGAAUCCUCCCCGUGCCUCUCUCCUCCAACUCCCUUGCCCCUCAUUGAAACGUCUGGUGAUGUUCCCCCUAUACUUGAACAAGUAGAAUUACCUCUUACACAACGUAGGGAAACUAGAAGUAAUGCUGGGAAACCUCCUAUACGUCUUGGCUUUGAACAUAUUAGCUCUAAGCAUGACAUUGCAAAUUAUAUCUCAUACUCCCACAUUUCACCUGCAUACAAAACUUUCAUUGCAUCAUUACAAGCAGUGCCUGUUCCGAAAGACUGGAGAUGUGCCAAGCAAGAUCCUAGGUGGAAAGAUGCAAUGAAGGAGGAGCUUCAUGCCCUUCAGGAGAACAAGACAUGGGAACUUGUGAGACUUCCACCAGGAAAAAGAGCAGUAAGAUGUAAGUGAGUAUUUACAGUAAAGCAAACUCCUGAAGGGAAGGUGGAUAGAUACAAAGCAAGAUCAAUUGCAAAAGGUUAUAGUCAAACUUAUGGGAUUGACUAUGAUGAAACAUUUGCUCCUGUGGCCAAGAUGGGUAUAGUGAGAGCUUUGGUGUCUUCUGCAGUUAACUUUGGAUGGCCUCUACAUCAGCUGGAUGUGAAAAAUGCUUUCCUUUAUGGUGAUCUACAAGAGGUCUAUAUGGAGAUUCCCCUUGGAUUUGGAAAUAACCAAACGGUAGGAAAGGUAUGUAAACUCAAGAGAUCAUUAUAUGGUUUGAAGCAGUCUCACGUGCAUGGUUUGAUAGAUUUAGGCGUGCACUAUGUGAGAUGGGAUAUUCCCAAUGCAAUGGAGAUCACACGGUUUUUUAUACACAUAAGGGUUCAUGUAUUACCAUCUUGGCAGUGUAUGCUGAUGAUAUAGUGAUCACCGGUGAUGAUGGGGGAAGAAAUUAGGUGCUUGAAGGAAAUGUUUGGAAAGACCUUUGAGGUGAAGGAUCUUGGACCUCUUCGAUACUUCCUUGGGAUUGAGAUUGCUCGGUCGUCAAAGGGAAUCGUUCUCUCCCAAGGGAAAUAUAUCCUUGAUCUAUUGGCAGAAACAUGAAUGCUUGGAUGUCGUUCAAGUGCUACACCAAUUGAUAAAAAUCA